UGUCUCUGGUUCAAUUCACUUAGCUGCACGUCAGCCCUUGUUAUGCGAACGAAAAGUAAAAUAGGCAAUAGGCGAAACCGGAAGGCUUCUGUUAUACGAUUCUUCCGAUUAUAUAAACCGCUUGUCCUCCGAAAAGUUAGGGUAAAUAGAGUUCUAUCGUAUAUAAUACUUUAUUAUUUAUACAUGUUAUAUUUUCUCUCGUGUUAUAUCUUUUGUAUCAUAUUAUAUAAUAUUCGGUGAUCGAUGGAAAGAUCAAUACUAUAAAUGUAAUUUAUCAGUAAGGAGGUGAGCGGUUUAAUCGUAAAAAAAUGAUAGUUCAAUAAUAUCGAAAUUAAAAAGCUACAAAAUUCUAACUUUAAAUUAAUUUUAGAUCUAAAAUUAUAUUAACAAAUUGUAUCAAGACAAAAAUGAUUAAAAGAUGUAAAACGCAAAUAGAAAUUCAGCCAAACGUUGAAAUUCUAAAGGAUUAUAACAGGUCGAAGGUAAUAUUGUUAUUUUACCUCGAUCUUUUCUCUUACGCUAAAAUAAAUAACAUUUGGAAUACGUGAAUGCACAUUGGCGCAUAUGAAAUGUUUUUCUAAAGCUCAAACUUAACGCGACAAUAUUGUACCACGUCUCCUAAUUACAUCGAAAAUUAAAAUUGGGUACUGUCGAGAUAAUUGAAAUUGUUUUUGCUGUAGGAGUUAAUAUCUCUAAUUAAACUGAAUGGCUUUAACACACAAAGUACUAUUGAUAUCGUAAUAAUUAUGUGUAUGACAUGUGAUACAGCGUUCUAUGGUAUAUAUGGUAUGCACAUACAUAUAACAUAUUGGUGACCUAACGCGUCAUCUGUUGGUUCACCUUGAAGACAUGAUUUCCUUUUGAAACUUUGUUAUCGACUGAAUUAUGAAAGCUAUAAUUUAUAUACAUGUAGGAUAGUGUGACAUCAGGGAAGGACGUGGCGUGAGGAGUAAUUGUUUAUUAGCGUCGUCGAGAUAUGUUGACGUUGUAAAAGAGUGUUGUGAGCGUUACCAAGAUGUGUUUGGGAAAAAAGUGAGCAUGGAAAACAUUGUAACGAGGGUUGAAAGAGUCAGAGUUGAAUUUAUCGUGUUGUCGUGCGAAGAUCGUUGUGUCGUUGUGUCGAAGAAGUAGCGAGUAACGAAAACGUGAAACGAGGUGGGGAGAUGCGGCGACUGCAAUAAAGCGAAUGUACUUUGCUUCUAAAGGGUUAGAGAAUCUGAUGAAAUUCAUGGCACAUCUUACACAAGUAAGCGCAUGUUCGAGCAGAAGUCAUGUUUCAGUCGUGUUGAAAACGGAAAACUUUCAAAGCAAUGCUACAAAAGGACGAGAAAAAGGAAGACGGAAGUGAUCGUAUAUCCAAGUGCAAAACUCUGCUCCAGCACAUUUGUCAUACCGGACCAGACACUUGAUCUAUAUAUCACCAUCAGAAUACUGGGAAAAAAGUUCUUGGCAAAAUAAACACUUGCAGAGCGAGUGAGUGAAACAGUCUAUAGCCGUUUGACAGAUAUUCAUUUGUCAGACUUUUAAAAAUUCCCUGUUAGGUAUGCUAUUCCAUAUUUAGCCGCUUUCCUCUAUAGAUGUAAGCAACGACUGUUUAAUGGUCAUAGGCAAUUAUAAUUAUAAUUGUAUAUAUAAAUUACACAGUUUAUUAAUUUCUAAAGUAUUAUGGUUAAGAUAUUUUCAGCUUUUGAAAUUGAGUUCUAUUGCGUAUAUUUUAGAUUCAAAAUUUAUCGUACAAAAAGAUCUUUACCGAUAUAAAAUAGAAGUUAUUUAUUGCAAAAAAUAGAACUAGCUGCACGGUAUAGCGUAUCUGCAAUAAAUUCCUUCCUAACUGAUAGUUCAGGAAACAGAGCGGUAUACAAACUAAUAUUACCUUUUACAACCACAAUUUCUCAUUCGAGGCGCAACGUGAAAUACUACGUAUCCACUGAUCUUUGACAACAGAUCAAUUUUAAAAAAUAUUUACGAUCCACGUCGGUGUAGUAAAUAAAUACAUACAAAAAGGGAAAAUUGUUAAAUUUCGGUUAUCUAAAAGACAUAAAUUUUUCUUACCGCAAAACUUCCGCCGUCAAUAUUUCUUACAAAUAUAUUCGAAAAAAGAUACCUAUUCUUGUUUGCAAAAUAACGACGAUGGUGUUGAAAUGUUUUAAGAAAACGGUAAAAAAUUUGUUCUUCUUACGGUGUUUAUCAUUCAAAAUCACUGAAAUUAUGCAUGAAACGCUUCUUAUGUAGCUAAAAACAAAUACAGUGUUUAGAUGUUCUUUAAACACUAGGACAACCUGUACAUUAAUGUGUUAAAUAUAAAAACUUUAAUCAACUAUUUUUCUCGUACCAUUAACACCUUUAGAAGCAAUUAUUUAGAUAUGAAGAUUACGGUGGAAGAAAACGAUAAGUCGCAUUUUCUAUUUUUUACAGAGCAAUAGUUUUUAAAUUCAUUAUAUUGUCAAUUAGUCUCGUGUUGUUAAAAUUGUUCUCUUACUUGAUUCUGACACUAAACACGUGUUCUUUUUCUAUCCUUCUCAUAAUUUGAAAAAACAGUGUAAAAUAUUGCUUGUGUUAAUAUUGAAGGACAUUAAAAAUAAAGUUGAUAUUUACACUAUGUUAUUAUAUGUUUUUUUUGUAAUUAUUGUUGAAAAUUGUGGAUCUUUGAAGCCGAAAUAAUGUUAUAGGAACACUAAAUUUCUACUGAGGAUUAAUAUUAAAAUAAUGAAAUAUUUAUUUCAUGAACGAUUCCUUAUAUAUUCAUCGAUACACACUUGCACGCGUCUCAGCAUUUUCUUCUAUACCCGACUGUUAACCGACUCUUAACCGACUGAACAGUUUACAUUCCUUUGUUUUCGAGACGCUUCGAGACACACAUACUUCCACACACUGAUAUU